rnacentral:rRNA from 1 species
GAUGAACGCUGGCGGCGUGCCUAAUACAUGCAAGUCGAGCGAACAGACGAGGAGCUUGCUCCUCUGACGUUAGCGGCGGACGGGUGAGUAACACGUGGAUAACCUACCUAUAAGACUGGGAUAACUUCGGGAAACCGGAGCUACUACCGGAUAAUAUAUUGAACCGCAUGGUUCAAUAGUGAAAGACGGUUUUGCUGUUACUUAUAGAUGGAUCCGCGCCGCAUUAGCUAGUUGGUAAGGUAACGGCUUACCAAGGCAACGAUGCGUAGCCGACCUGAGAGGGUGAUCGGCCACACUGGAACUGAGACACGGUCCAGACUCCUACGGGAGGCAGCAGUAGGGAAUCUUCCGCAAUGGGCGAAAGCCUGACGGAGCAACGCCGCGUGAGUGAUGAAGGUCUUCGGAUCGUAAAACUCUGUUAUUAGGGAAGAACAAAUGUGUAAGUAACUAUGCACGUCUUGACGGUACCUAAUCAGAAAGCCACGGCUAACUACGUG